UCUUGCGUUUAUUAUAACUACCCAGUACGGAAUUAAUAAUGACGUAUUUUGUACAUGUAGGGAAUUCAUACCACGGUUACUAAUGUCCCAAGACAUUUUAAGAAUAGAAAUUUAUCAAGCAGAACGAUUGAAUUCUUGUGGAGAUAAGCCACGUUGAGCUGGAGAGAAGUGUUUGUGAAGUGAAUAAUAAAAAGAUAACUAACAGUGGCUGCGUAAAAAAGAUAAAAAAAAUAAACUAACAUUGGUUGGGUAGAAGUUUGAACUAGUCGAUAUUUGAUUUAGCAGCAGUGGGAUCCCAGUAGAGGUGGAAAUUGAGGAUACUGGAUUGCUAUAAAAGUAUAAAACAGAUAAAAUAUUCGUGAUAUGAAAGGUCUGAUCAGAGUG